CCGCGGGGACGACCCCGCAGACGGGCUUUUUCAUCCGCCGGGACGGCCAGG
rnacentral:ncRNA from 1 species